rnacentral:rRNA from 1 species
UACGGAGGGGGCUAGCGUUGUUCGGAAUUACUGGGCGUAAAGCGCACGUAGGCGGCUUUGCAAGUCAGAGGUGAAAGCCCGGGCUCAACCCCGGAAUUGCCUUUGAGACUGCAUCGCUAGAAUUGUGGAGAGGUAAGUGGAAUUCCGAGUGUAGAGGUGAAAUUCGUAGAUAUUCGGAAGAACACCAGUGGCGAAGGCGACUUACUGGACACAUAUUGACGCUGAGGUGCGAAAGCGUGGGAGCAACAGG